GGGAGUAAUGUCUGGGAAACUGCCCGAUGGAGGGGGAUAACUACUGGAAACGGUAGCUAAUACCGCAUAACGUCGCAAGACCAAAGAGGGGGACCUUCGGGCCUCUUGCCAUCGGAUGUGCCCAGAUGGGAUUAGCUAGUAGGUGGGGUAACGGCUCACCUAGGCGACGAUCCCUAGCUGGUCUGAGAGGAUGACCAGCCACACUGGAACUGAGACACGGUCCAG
rnacentral:rRNA from 1 species